rnacentral:rRNA from 1 species
GGUAGCACAGAGAGCUUGCUCUCGGGUGACGAGUGGCGGACGGGUGAGUAAUGUCUGGGAAACUGCCUGAUGGAGGGGGAUAACUACUGGAAACGGUAGCUAAUACCGCAUAACGUCGCAAGACCAAAGAGGGGGACCUUCGGGCCUCUUGCCAUCAGAUGUGCCCAGAUGGGAUUAGCUAGUAGGUGGGGUAACGGCUCACCUAGGCGACGAUCCCUAGCUGGUCUGAGAGGAUGACCAGCCACACUGGAACUGAGACACGGUCCAGACUCCUACGGGAGGCAGCAGUGGGGAAUAUUGCACAAUGGGCGCAAGCCUGAUGCAGCCAUGCCGCGUGUAUGAAGAAGGCCUUCGGGUUGUAAAGUACUUUCAGCGGGGAGGAAGGUGUUGUGGUUAAUAACCACAGCAAUUGACGUUACCCGCAGAAGAAGCACCGGCUAACUCCGUGCCAGCAGCCGCGGUAAUACGGAGGGUGCAAGCGUUAAUCGGAAUUACUGGGCGUAAAGCGCACGCAGGCGGUCUGUCAAGUCGGAUGUGAAAUCCCCGGGCUCAACCUGGGAACUGCAUUCGAAACUGGCAGG